GAAGGGGCCAGAAGGAUGAUGCUCCAAGAAGUGCAGAGGGGUUGCCUCCCUUUGAAGCAAACUUUGAACCAUGGAGAGGGAGGCCGGACAGAAGGUGACAAGUAACAUUCCAGAUGGCAGAGUCUCCUUCAGCCUGAGCCUCUCAUGACCAGAUGCAAGCAGAGCCCUAGGCUGGAUGCCCAGGCUGUCUCUCGUGGUGGUGUAUCGUGGCUAUCACUGUGCAUCAGCAGAGCACUGGGACUCUAGUUGAUUGGGUGAUAUUUCACUUGGAGACCAUCCUCCCUUCGCUGGUGACCUCAUCAUCAGUCACAUGUCACCACACUGGAGAAAUUAAAUCUCGACCUUCGUGGCAACACUAGUCUCCACCUAUUGAUGGACAGCUCCUUUGUCCUUCAGCUGCCCUUUAACUGUGCAGAGGUCCUAUUAAGCCAUCAAAGCCCACAGCUAGCAUGUGGGCAUGUCCAACAUGAAGGAACAAAACAGAGCUUUUGGCGGGGGGGGACAAGAUUUCCUUUCCUUGUUACUUCAUUCUUUUUCAUUCGUAGGAAAUGGGAUGCCUCUUCAAAGAGAAUGCUCUUUGAGAGAAGAAGGUUGAAAGAAAUGAGUCACUGGGAGAUCAGGGCUAUUUAUUGUGGAUAUUUGUCUCUUGAAGGCUCUUAGAAUGUGUGUAUCUAUUAGAACCAUGAUCAUUGACAACAUGGCUUCUCUUUUAUUUGGUGUUAGGCUGCACUUCUCUGCAGAAUACCUUGGCUUCCAUUAAUUGCUUAACUUUGGAAACUUAACCAAGCAGGGAAGAGGGAGGCUAUGUGGGGAAAGAGAGGGCUGGAGCACAGCAACCCCAAUGAGACCUGAGGCAAUCUCAGAUCUCAGUUUCCCCUGCUGGAGAAUGGGGCUGGAGGUAACGCUUACCACACUGACUGGUUACAAGGAGUCAAGGAGUAAUGUAUGAAAGAUAGCUGCUGCUUCGUCAGUGCCACAGAGGGUUUUGUUGAAUAAUUAAUAGGCUCUGUCUGUCACUAAGAAUGUCUUAAUGGUUUACUGGCACUUCUUUGGGCCAGGCACUGUGUUUCACGUGCUUUAAAUUUUUUCAUUUGAUCUUUACAGUAAUUUAUAAUAGUAUCCUCAUUGUACAGAGAGAAAAAUCAAGGUUUAGGACUAGUAACUAGGUUACCAGGUAUAGGUUGAUACAGCUAGCAAGUGGCAUAACCCCUGAACUCCAGGCUCCCUGCUGCAUCCACCACACUACACUACUCCUGCCAGAAGCUUUCAGUGUAUUUUUACUCCCCAAAACCUUGCACACAAGGAUGAACCCUUGAACCAGAAUACACAGCUUUGAUAAACUGUAUCUGAUAGAGGAGCAGAGGCCUGGAUUUGAAAACUGGUUCUACCGCCUACUGAUUCUGUGAUGUUGGGAAGCUUAUUUAUCCCCAGCACUCAGUUUCUCAUGUUUGAUGGAUGCUCAGAGAUUCUGCUCCCUAAGGUGAUCCUGAGGAUUGGCCGAGAUGCAGAUCAACAAUGUCUCACAAAUAAUGUUUCUCAAUCUGUUCAGUGAAACUUGGCUGGGACUUAGGUGAGGGUUAUUGGAUUGGAGAAUCUCCUUAAGGAUGGGUUUGUACUGUAUUAAAUAAACCAGGCUGCUGUCAUAGAAGAACCAACUACUGCAAUUUGUCCCACUCCUUCUGAGUCCUACAAGUUCAGGCCUAGAGUCUGCACGAGAAACUGCUUAGUGUUUUCAAGUAAUCGGCCACCACAACAACCAAGAGAGUUUGUUGUAAAUGCCAAUAGUGAUAGACUGAAUUUGAGGAAAAAAAAAAAAAAAAAAAAAAAAGAAGAAGAAGAAGAGGGGGGGAUUUAUUGACCAGAGAAAAAACAAGCCAAAGCCUUGGCUAAUUUGUGUAAUCAGCUUUAUCAAUUUGCAUAAAUUGUGCAUCAGGCUAUAUUCCUCUUGGGCAUAAUAAGCCCAAAUUUAGUUUUUCUAAUUUUAAAGUCAUCAGUCGCUUUUUUUUGCUUCUUCUGUUCCUUUCUGGGACUCGUGUGGGUCACACCUCCAUGCAUCUGUCAGGUGGUCUAUGAGUCCCUAAUUCUCAGGGACCCUGUCAGUGCCCGGCUAUAGCAUCUAAUGCUUAUUUUCCAAAAUUGGUCCAGCCUCGACCCUCUACCCUCCCCACUAAUUCAUGCCUUUUUGUCUAGAUUUCAUAUGCCCCUUUUUUUGUUAUGUCUUCAUUCAGAUUAAAAUCUUUGAAAUAUUUUAAAAUGAACCCCUUCCACUUGCUGUGCCUUUCUGCCACAUCCUUUCAAAUUACUCUGGCCAAUUCUAGAUUGUUCCCUAGCAGGCUCUCUGCCUUAGAUUCUCUGCCUCAGAUUCCAUUGCUUCCUCUCCUUACUUCUUUCUCAACACUCAUUAUUUCUGCUAAGGGUCUCUAAACAGUUCUAAAGGGUCUCAGAAGGCUUUGCUUCUGCUUUGAGAUUAUAAGAUGGAUUGCAAUAUUGAGCAUCUUUUCAUGUGCUUUUUGGCCAUCUGUCUGUCUUCUUUGGGGGAAGAGGGAUGAAUUAGGAGGUUAGGAUUGAUAUAUACACACUACUAUAUAUAAACUAAACAGGUAACCAGAACAUACUGUAUUGCACAGAGCAAUCAAUACUCUGUAAUCAUCAAUAUGGGAAAAGAAUCUGAAAAGGAAUGGAUAUGUGUGUGUGUGUGUGUGUAUGAUUCACUUUGCUAUACACCUGAAACUAACACAACUUUGUAAGUCAACUAUAUUCUAAUAAAAUUUUAAUUUUAAUUUAA
rnacentral:lncRNA from 1 species